UCAAACUACAAAUUAAAAACAAUUAAUUACUACUAUCGGUUAUAACUGACGUUAGAGGACUUUUUUCAUUGAACGUAAUAAUUAAUUUUAAUUCUUUGUUUAUAGAUAUAAUAAAUCCCCAGAGCAGUUUGUGGAGAAAGAAAACAUGAAAGGAAUGGCGAGUUUCAAAUAAUUAAAACAUUUAACAUAGAGCAUUAGGUUGCCUUGGUCUUGAUGGCAGUUUGAAAAGGGUUGCAAGGUGAUGGUGCUGUUCUAAAUAUAAUAAAGUUUAAUAGGCAGUAAGAGAUUUUAUGUUGCUUUGGUCCUAUGACUUGUUUGAAAAAUUUAAAAAAAUGCUGAGG
rnacentral:lncRNA from 1 species